UUCCCUGGGGUGUACGCCAGUCGUAUGAACCCUGAGCCGAUAUUUAUUAGACUGGGGAGGCUCACUGUUAUCAGUUGCGCAGGCCGCGGCUUUUAAGCUUGAGCGGAAGCCUUAGAUAACACAGUGUCCCCACUUGAACCUCCUGGUUCAAGGAGUCAUAUACGGCAGCGGCAUUUCCGGGGU
rnacentral:other from 1 species